GAUGAACGCUGGCGGCAUGCCUAAUACAUGCGAGUCGAACGAGAGGAAGGAAAGCUUGCUUUUCUGAAUCUAGUGGCGAACGGGUGAGUAACACGUAGGUAACCUGCCCAUGUGCCCGGGAUAACUUCUGGAAACGGAUGCUAAAACCGGAUAGGUAGCAGACAAGCAUUUGACUGCUAUUAAAGUGGCUAAGGCCAUGAACAUGGAUGGACCUGCGGUGCAUUAGCUAGUUGGUGAGGUAACGGCCCACCAAGGCGACGAUGCAUAGCCGGCCUGAGAGGGCGGACGGCCACAUUGGGACUGAGACACGGCCCAAACUCCUACGGGAGGCAGCAGUAGGGAAUUUUCGUCAAUGGGGGGAACCCUGAACGAGCAAUGCCGCGUGAGUGAAGAAGGUCUUCGGAUCGUAAAGCUCUGUUGUAAGAGAAAAACGACAUUCAUAGGGAAUGAUGAGUGAGUGAUGGUAUCUUACCAGAAAGU
rnacentral:rRNA from 1 species